CCUACGGGGGGCUGCAGUGGGGAAUAUUGCACAAUGGAGGAAACUCUGAUGCAGCAACGCCGCGUGGAGGAUGACGCAUUUCGGUGUGUAAACUCCUUUUAUAAGGGAAGAUAAUGACGGUACCUUAUGAAUAAGCACCGGCUAACUCCGUGCCAGCAGCCGCGGUAAUACGGAGGGUGCAAGCGUUACUCGGAAUCACUGGGCGUAAAGGAUGCGUAGGCUGGAAAUCAAGUCGAGAGUGAAAUCCAACGGCUCAACCGUUGAACUGCGCUCGAAACUGGUUACCUAGAAUAUGGGAGAGGUAGAUGGAAUUGGUGGUGUAGGGGUAAAAUCCGUAGAUAUCACCAGGAAUACCGAUUGCGAAGGCGAUCUACUGGAACAUUAUUGACGCUGAGGCAUGAAAGCGUGGGGAGCAAACAGGAUUAGAUACCCCAGUAGUC
rnacentral:rRNA from 1 species